rnacentral:rRNA from 1 species
CCUCAAAUCAGGUAGGACUACCCGCUGAACUUAAGCAUAUCAAUAAGCGGAGGAAAAGAAACUAACAAGGAUUCCCCCAGUAACUGCGAGUGAAGAGGGAAGAGCUCAAAUUUAGAAUCUGGCAGUCUUUGGCUGUCCGAGUUGUAAAUUAGAGAAGUGUUAUCCGCGCUGGCUGUGCAUAAGUCUCUUGGAAAAGGGCAUCAUAGAGGGUGACAAUCCCGUCUUUGGCACAGACUACCAGGGCUUUUGUGAUACGCUCUCGAUGAGUCGAGUUGUUUGGGAAUGCAGCUCUAAAUGGGUGGUAAAUUCCAUCUAAAGCUAAAUAUUGGCGAGAGACCGAUAGCGCACAAGUACCGUGAGGGAAAGAUGAAAAGAACUUUGAAAAGAGAGCUAAACAGUACGUGAAAUUGUUGAAAGGGAAACGCUUGAAGUCAGUCACAUCCUUCAGAAAUCAACCUGACCGUCAGGUCUGGUGUACUUUCUGUUUGGAUGGGUCAGCAUCAAUUUUGAUCAUUGGAUAAAGGCCUUGGGAAAGUGGCAUCUCCGGAUGUGUUAUAGCCCAUGGUUCAUACACAGUGGUUGGGAUUGAGGAACUCUGUGCUUUUUGCACUAC